rnacentral:rRNA from 1 species
GACGAACGCUGGCGGCGUGCUUAACACAUGCAAGUCGAACGGACAGACAGAGAGCUUGCUCUCUUGAAGUUAGUGGCGAACGGGUGAGUAACGCGUAAUCAACCUGCCCUUCAGAGGGGGAUAACAACGGGAAACCGUUGCUAAUACCGCGUACGAUUCAUGAACGGCAUCGUUUAUGAAUGAAAGGUGGCCUCUAUGUAUAAGCUAUCGCUGAAGGAGGGGAUUGCGUCUGAUUAGCUAGUUGGAGGGGUAACGGCCCGCCAAGGCAAUGAUCAGUAGCCGGUCUGAGAGGAUGAUCCGCCACACUGGGACUGAGACACGGCCCAGACUCCUACGGGAGGCAGCAGCGGGGAAUUUUGGACAAUGGGGGCAACCCUGAUCCAGCCAUGCCGCGUGAGUGAAGAAGGCCUUCGGGUUGUAAAGCUCUUUCGGCCGGGAAGAAAUCGCACAGGCUAAUACUCUGUGUGGAUGACGGUACCGGCAUAAGAAGCACCGGCUAACUACGUGCCAGCCGCCGCGGUAA